CCUACGGGUGGCAGCAGUGAGGAAUAUUGGUCAAUGGGCGAGAGCCUGAACCAGCCAAGUCGCGUGAGGGAAGACGGCCCUACGGGUUGUAAACCUCUUUUGUCAGGGAGCAAGGUGCAGGUCGGGACCUGCUGUGAGAGUACCUGAAGCAAAAGCAUCGGCUAACUCCGUGCCAGCAGCCGCGGUAAUACGGAGGGUCCGAGCGUUAUCCGGAUUUAUUGGGUUUAAAGGGAGCGUAGGUGGAUUGUUAAGUCAGUUGUGAAAGUUUGCGGCUCAACCGUAAAAUUGCAGUUGAAACUGGCAGUCUUGAGUACAGUAGAGGUGGGCGGAAUUCGUGGUGUAGCGGUGAAAUGCUUAGAUAUCACGAAGAACUCCGAUUGCGAAGGCAGCUCACUGGACUGCAACUGACACUGAGGCUCGAAAGUGUGGGUAUCAAACAGGAUUAGAUACCCCGGUAGUC
rnacentral:rRNA from 1 species